rnacentral:rRNA from 1 species
AUUGAACGCUGGCGGCAGGCUUAACACAUGCAAGUCGAACGAGUGGCGGACGGGUGAGUAAUGUCUGGGAAACUACCUGAUGGAGGGGGAUAACUACUGGAAACGGUAGCUAAUACCGCAUACCAUCGGAUGUGCCCAGAUGGGCUUAGCUAGUUGGUGGGGUAAAGGCUCACCAAGGCGACGAUCCCUAGCUGGUCUGAGAGGAUGACCAGCCACACUGGAACUGAGACACGGUCCAGACUCCUACGGGAGGCAGCAGUGGGGAAUAUUGCGCAAUGGGCGAAAGCCUGAUGCAGCCAUGCCGCGUGUAUGAAGAAGGCCUUCGGGUUGUAAAGUUCUUUCAGUAGGGAGGCGUUACUUGCAGAAGAAGCACCGGCUAACUCCGUGCCAGCAGCCGCGGUAAUUC